rnacentral:misc_RNA from 1 species
CAGAUCAUCAUGCCCUUCGGGGUAGAUCUCCCACCCUUUGUAUUUAUACUUUUGUUGCUUUGGCGGGCCGCCUCGGCCACCGGCUCCGGCUGGUGCGUGCCCGCCAGAGGACCCCAAACUCUGAAUGUUAGUGUCGUCUGAGUACUAUAUAAUAGUUA